UGGGGAAUAUUGGACAAUGGGCGCAAGCCUGAUCCAGCCAUGCCGCGUGUGUGAUGAAGGCCUUAGGGUUGUAAAGCACUUUCGCCGAUGAAGAUAAUGACUGUAGUCGGAGAAGAAGCCCCGGCUAACUUCGUGCCAGCAGCCGCGGUAAUACGAAGGGGGCAAGCGUUGUUCGGAUUUACUGGGCGUAAAGCGUACGUAGGCGGAUGAUUAAGUCAGGGUGAAAUCCCGGGCUCAACCUCGAACUGCCUUUGAUACUGGUCGUCUUGAGUCCGGGAGAGGUGAGUGGAACUCCUAGUGUAGAGGUGAAAUUCGUAGAUAUUAGGAAGAACACCAGUGGCGAAGGCGGCUCACUGGCCCGGAACUGACGCUGAGGUACGAAAGCGUGGGGAGCAAACAGGAUUAGAUACCCUGGUAGUCCACGCCGUAAACGAUGGAUGCUAGCCGU
rnacentral:rRNA from 1 species